rnacentral:lncRNA from 1 species
GCCGUUGGGGCUUGAUCUUGGAAGAACGAUGAACGAAGAACGAAGAAGGUUUUCUUGAUUCUUCGGGAACUUGGAUGCUUGAGAGCUUCGGAGUUUCAGAGCUUCAGAGCUUCAAGGUGUAAUAUGAAUUGGUUCCCUUCAAUGAAUGAAAUGGGCUUGUAUUUAUAGAAUUUUCCAAUGCCUAAUUUUGAAUAUAAUAUCCCAGAUGAAAUAAG